rnacentral:lncRNA from 10 species
UGCUCAGCUAAUUUUUUGUAUUUUUAGUAGAGAUGGGGUUUUGCCAUGUUGGCCAGGCUGGCCUCAAACUCCUGGCCUCAGGUGAUUCACCCACCUCUGCCUCCCAAAGUGCUCGGAUUACAGGUGUGAGCCACCAUGCCCGGCCUGUGUGUAUGUUUUUAAAAAGCCAGUGCUCACUUUUUGUAUUUAAAUUUCAAAAAUGAGGCUGGGUACAGUGGCGUGCACCUGUAGUCCCAGCUACUCAGGAGGCUGAGGUGGGAGGAUCACUUGAGCCCAGGAGUUUGAGACCAGCCUGGACAACAUAGCAAGACUUCCAUCUCAGAAACAAAAACAAAAAACAAACAAAAACAAAACAGAGCCAAACCAUUGAAAAGGAAAAAAUAAAAAGAAUAUCUUUAGAGUAACCAAAGGAAAAUGACAUUUUAUGAGGGGAACAAAGAUUUGAAAUGCCAUUGACUACUCAUCAGAAUCAAGUGAAAUGACAUAUUUAAAGUUCUGAAAAAAAAAAUCAACCCUUUAUCUGGAAAUAAUCAUACAGAUGAAAUGAAAAUAUCAUGCAAUAAUGAGGGCAAAUUAAAUACAUUUUUACUUAAAACGUAGAAUCUGUCACUAGCAGACCUGUGCUACAAGAAAUGCUAAAUGAAGUUCUUUAGACAGAAGGGAAAUAAUACCAGAUGGAAACCUGAAUGUUCAGGAAGGAAGGAAGAGGCUCAGAAAG